AGAACACUGGACUUGUCGCUGUGGGGGACAGGAGUUAAUCGCUGAAAUAUGAGCCUAGAAUACUCACCUUCCAGAGCGUGGGUUGCACCCUUGAAGAGAGGAGGGCUUAUGUGCUGGACUGAGUCCAAGGGCGAGAGCCUGUGGAGGCUUCCAGAUGUGAAGACAGUGGACCGAUGCCCCACUGCUUUGCCGAGCCUGCGCCCUGGCUGGGAGACCGUGAGAGACGCCCUUAUCAUGAGCCUGGAGCACACGCUUGUGUGAUCGCCGCUCAGGCGGCCCGGGUGUGGGUGGAGGGCAGGAGGCUGGUGAACGGACAAACUGGGGGUGAAGCCAGUGGGGUCCGGGCCCGGCUGGGGCACCGCUUUUCAGGAAUGAUGGAAACUGGACCCAGGAGGAGCGGGGUCCAGGCCAAGGAGUUCUGAAGCGUGGAGUUGCUCACAGCCCACCCAAGGACCGUGAGGGCUCAUGACAGGACGUCCCAGGGCCUCAGCUUAGCAGCGUCACUGCGGCCUCACCCCCAGCAGAGAUGAGUCAGGGGGACCACGGGCCCCUGGCCAGAGGUGGAUGUCCUCUCUCCUGAUUUUCCCAGGGGAGGCAGUGGUGGCCUUGGCAGGCCGUGAAUGGGGACGGGGGCACCACAGGCAAUCCCACCCCCAAUCACCCCUCUCCCGGGACAGGCUCUCUCCGGACACUUCAUACACAUAUGUCUCCCUGCCUGCUUCCCUCGCAGAAGUGAGUGGGGUGCACAGUCUGCAGGAAGCGUUAAAAGAAUCCUCUAAUACUAGGCGUUGUGCUGUGGAGGGUGAAGAGCUUUGGGGCAGGACAAAAUUGUUUGAUUCCUACUCCAAGAGCUGCUCCCGUGGGCAAGCUGAUGGCCUUCUCUGAUGAUCUCCAAGAGUAGAUGCUGAGAUGGCAUGGGACAAAAUUCACCACCGUUCCUUCUGAAAGACCAGGCAGAGAAGGAAUAGAGUUCUUUACGUGGACACAGGCUGUCUGAUAGAAUCUACAUGAACUAUUCCAAGUGUGUAAGAGACACGCUCCCAUUAAGUUCUCGUGUGUGCCAAGGAUUUCUGCUCCCCGUGCUCAUGGUCACCACCAACCUGGACAUUCUAACCGCUGUGAUGAGCAUAGAAAUAAAUAAGUUAGAGAAAAGUGACAUUUACCAGCCAUGUAAUUAGAGGCCAGGGAAUCCAGGAGGAUGUGCGGAAAGCCCUCUACAAACUCAAUAAAGCAGCCAGUUGUGAGAACUAUAAACAAUGACUUGUCUCUGCACCAGAAUAAGAAAUUAAAACACUUUAUCACAGAAAUGCCAUAGCUCCACUGAAAUAUAAGUAAAGAAAGAAUCCCCCAAAUAUCUGAGAAAUGCACGCAAAAUCUCUAACAACAGAGGAGAGGGGUGUGAAUUGCUGUGGGGGCCCCGCUGUGACCCGGGGGUGAGCACUGGGCCUUCGCACAGGCCAGCAUCACAAGUCAGUCUAUAGACCAGUGCCACAGGUCGCACAGAAGCCCGGUGCUUCUCGAGCUCGGCAAGCUGACCGCGCCAUCUGCGUGGCAGGUGAAACACAUAAAACCCACGAUAGGCAUCAGUGAGGAAGAUCUUACCCCUUUUUAUGACACGUAUACAGUUAAAACUUUCAUUGCAACAGAGCAGAGAAAAUACGGACUGUGUCUUGUAGCUUUUGGAAAAAUGGACUAUCAGUUUGGGGAAAGUUGUCUGAAUCCUUCCUACAUUUUAUCCUACAUGACAACCAUGUAGACUAGCAUCGUAUAAAAUGAUGAGAUGUCAGAAGAAAAAUUAAAAUAAUAUUCUUAUAAUUUAUGCCUUUCUAUGCAAAGUAGAAAGCCCAGAGAUAUAAAAAAGAAAGAAAGAACACAUUAUACAGUUAGAAGUUAAGAUCUUCUGGGGCG